CACAGAGUAGGCGGCAUUGCCGUUUAAUGUGGCGACAGAAAUUCUGUCACAGUUGCAAGCCUGA
ncrna:unclassified sequences Type-P5 twister ribozyme ribozyme sequence